AUGAUAAGAAGUUUGAGUUGAGUGAACAAGUGUGACGUAACUAUAUGAUAAGCAGACAUGCAUGUUAAUCUAGAAGUAAGGAGGUAAGGCAGCUAGAAACAGUAUAAAAACUCGAGGCCCACGGCCAGAAGACAUUCUCAAAAUGACUUGAUAGACACGCUGUCAGAAGCAGUCAUAGAGAAUCCAACGAACCAGCAACUUGACAACUGAGACCUUCCAAGAGCCAGAGAACUAGCUCUUGCCUGCGGAUCAAGACUUGCUGACUUGCUGAUAGAUCUUCCAAGAGCCAGAGAACUAGCUCUUGUCUGCGGAUCAAGACUUGCUGAUCCAGAGAUCUAAGUCGAGAGCCACGAACCAUUAUCAGGUUUUAGUUCAGGGCUCCUGGAUCACAACGUGCCUUCCAGUUCCGAGACACCCAUGCACCCCCCAGGGAGUGAAGCAUUCAAGUCAAGUUCCCUUAGUAGUCAAGAAAGCAUUGUUGGCUUGACAGGACAGUUGGUCAUUAAUCUUGUGGACCCUGUAUGACUUGUAAACUUCACUUUAUUCUGGCAACUGUAUUGAUCCUGGAAGUUACCAUUAUCUUCUGUUUCUGAUAAAUGUAUAAAAAGUCUGAUUGCUCUUAAUAAAAUCAUCACAGCCCCUGUAGUGCUGGGGCCCCUCCAA